GCUCGAAAGAGAGCCGUAACACAGGUGCUGCAUGGCUGUCGUCAGCUCGUGUCGUGAGAUGUUGGGUUAAGUCCCGCAACGAGCGCAACCCUUGUCAUUAGUUGCUACGAAAGGGCACUCUAAUGAGACUGCCGGUGACAAACCGGAGGAAGGUGGGGAUGACGUCAAGUCCUCAUGGCCCUUAUGGUAGGGCUUCACACGUCAUACAAUGGUACAUACAGAGGGCUGCCAACCCGCGAGGGGGAGCUAAUCCCAGAAAGUGUAUCGUAGUCCGGAUUGAAGUCUGCAACUCGACUUCAUGAAGUUGGAAUCGCUAGUAAUCGCGGAUCAGCAUGUCGCGGUGAAUACGUUCCCGGGUCUU
rnacentral:rRNA from 1 species